UCCCGUUUAGCUCAGCUGGUAGAGCGCGUCACUAGUACAUGACUCAUCGAGUUGUAUCACAUGACGAGGUCAGUCGUUCAAGUCGGCUAAUGGGAA